GGGGAAUAUUGGACAAUGGGCGCAAGCCUGAUCCAGCCAUACCGCGUGGGUGAAGAAGGCCUUCGGGUUGUAAAGCCCUUUUGUUGGGAAAGAAAUCCAGCUGGCUAAUACCCGGUUGGGAUGACGGUACCCAAAGAAUAAGCACCGGCUAACUUCGUGCCAGCAGCCGCGGUAAUACGAAGGGUGCAAGCGUUACUCGGAAUUACUGGGCGUAAAGCGUGCGUAGGUGGUCGUUUAAGUCCGUUGUGAAAGCCCUGGGCUCAACCUGGGAACUGCAGUGGAUACUGGGCGACUAGAGUGUGGUAGAGGGUAGCGGAAUUCCUGGUGUAGCAGUGAAAUGCGUAGAGAUCAGGAGGAACAUCCAUGGCGAAGGCAGCUACCUGGACCAACACUGACACUGAGGCACGAAAGCGUGGGGAGCAAACAGGAUUAGAUACCCUGGUAGUCCACGCCCUAAACGAUGCGAAUUGGAUGUUGGGUGCA
rnacentral:rRNA from 1 species